rnacentral:rRNA from 1 species
UAGUCCACGCUGUAAACGUUGGGCGCUAGGUGUGGGGGGCCUCUCCGGUUCUCUGUGCCGCAGCUAACGCAUUAAGCGCCCCGCCUGGGGAGUACGGCCGCAAGGCUAAAACUCAAAGGAAUUGACGGGGGCCCGCACAAGCGGCGGAGCAUGCGGAUUAAUUCGAUGCAACGCGAAGAACCUUACCUGGGUUUGACAUGGCCGCAAAACUGUCAGAGAUGGCAGGUCCUUCGGGGGCGGUCAC